AACGAACGCUGGCGGCGUGCCUAACACAUGCAAGUCGAACGCGAAAGGGGGGCAACCCCCGAGUAGAGUGGCGCACGGGUGAGUAACACGUGGGUAACCCACCCUAGAGAUCGGGACAACCAGGGGAAACUCUGGCUAAUACCGGAUACGUCCGAGUUGGCCUCGGCCGGCUCGGAGAAAGGUGGCCUAUGCUUGCAAGCCAUCGCUCUUGGACGGGCCCGCGGCCCAUUAGCUAGUUGGUGAGGUAACGGCUCACCAAGGCAGUGAUGGGUAGCUGGUCUGAGAGGAUGAUCAGCCACACUGGGACUGGAACACGGCCCAGACUCCUACGGGAGGCAGCAGUGGGGAAUUUUGCGCAAUGGGGGAAACCCUGACGCAGCAACGCCGCGUGGGUGAUGAAGGCCCUUGGGUCGUAAAGCCCUGUCGGUGGGAAGAAUCCCUUGUCGGCGAACAGUCGGCGAGGAUGACGGUACCACUAAAGGAAGCACCGGCUAACUCUGUGCCAGCAG
rnacentral:rRNA from 1 species